rnacentral:rRNA from 1 species
AGAGUUUGAUCCUGGCUCAGAGUUAACGCUGGCAGCGUGCAUAACACAUGCAAGUCGAGCGGGACUGUUUGAGAUUAUAUCAAUGACAGUUUAGCGGCAGACGAGUGAGUAACACGUAAGAAAUCUGCCCCGAAGAAGGGAACAACUUGCCGAAAGGUGAGCUAAUACCCUAUAUAAUCCUGGUACGGCAUCGCACCGGG